rnacentral:rRNA from 1 species
GGGCCCGCACAAGCGGUGGAGUAUGUGGUUUAAUUCGAUGCAACGCGAAGAACCUUACCAGGGUUUGACAUCCUGCGAAUCUCUUGGAAACAGGAGAGUGCCUUCGGGAACGCAGUGACAGGUGGUGCAUGGCUGUCGUCAGCUCGUGUCGUGAGAUGUUGGGUUAAGUCCCGCAACGAGCGCAACCCACGUCUUUAGUUGCCAGCAUUUAGUUGGGCACUCUAACGGAACUGCCGGUGCAAACCGUGAGGAAGGUGGGGACGACGUCAAAUCAUCACGGCCUUACGUCCUGGGCCACACACGUGCUACAAUGGUAGGUACAGAGGGAAGCCACCCCGCGAGGGGAG